rnacentral:rRNA from 1 species
AUGGCCCACAUAUCAGAUAUUAAACUGAUAAGAACAGAUACUACACUUGAUCUUAGCCAAAAGGCCGAGAAAGGUAUGCUUCUUUCCGUAGCCCUGGGUCUGCUUAUAUACUGCGUCUUGGCCUCCCUUCCGCUCUGGCUGCGCGAGGUGGGACUAAGCGAAAGCGCUGCGCACAGCAAAGCUCUCCGCUCGGUUCGUUUCUUCGGAGGCGAGGCGCUGGUUGGUUUGCUUGGGCCGUAG